AAAAAAAAAAAAGAAAGAAAAGAAGAUCCUGCCUCAAAAAAUAUAAGUAUGGGGGCUGGAGAGAUUGCUCAGCAGUUUUAAGAACACUGUUGCUCUUCCAGAGGACCUGGGUUCAAUUCCCAGCACCUAUAUUGCAGGUCAGAACUGUAACUCCAGUUCCAUGAAAUCUGACAUCUCACACAAACAUGCAGAUAAAUACCAGUGCACAUAAAAUAAAAAUAAAUAAUAAUAAAGAAAAGAAGGUUGAGGCCAAUUUAAAAACAACAACAGCAACAUAAGAUGGGACAGGGAGCAUGAAAUAAUUUAAAAAGUAGCAGUUUAUAAUUUAUGGGGUUUUUUUUAGCUCAAAAAUCAAUAAGCCCACAAGGCUGAAUCAAAUGCUCAGUGGUUAAGAAUCUGUGUUCCUUCUCCAGAGAACCAGGGUUUAUUUCCCUGGCAUCGCGGUUCACACCAUCUGUAACUACAGCACCAGGGAAUCCUACGGCCCCCUUUGACCUCCAGGGGCACCGAGCAUGCAAAGACGAAAACAGUCACAAAUAAAGUAGAAUGGAUAAAUGUUAACAACACGUAUAAGACCGACGCAUUACUGUAGAAACGUGUAUACGAGCAUUAACAGCAGCACAGCUCGAGUGUUUGCCACCUGACGGACGAAAUGUAUUUAUAUACUGUGGAUGGUUACCCACUGUAAGGGGCGGUGCGUUGAUACGAUGCAGUGAAACCUGAAAACCUCACAGUAAGUAAAGGAAGCUGGGUGGCUGGGUGCAGAGGAAUUUACUGUAAUCCUAGCUCUCUGGAGGCAAAGGCAGGAGGAUCUCAAGUCUGAGGGCAGCCUGGUCCUGGUCUACAUAGGUGAGACUCUGUCAAAAAAAGAUUAAAUUAAAUUAAAUUAAAAAGUCUGAGUUGGGCUGGAGAGAUGGCUCAGUGGUUAAGAGCACUGACUGCUCUUCCCGAGGUCCUGAGUUCAAAUCCCAGCAACCACAUGGUGGCUCACAACCAUCUGCAAUGAUAUCCGAGGUCCUCAUCUGGUGUGUCUGAAGAAGGCAACAGUGUACUCAAAUACAUAGAAUAAAUAAAUCUUUAAAAAAAAAAAAGUCUGAGUUGAGACACUGUGGAGAAGUGACUGACAAGGGCAAGUAAAGAGAAGGGGAACAGGACUGAUUAGGUGAUGAGAAUGUUCUGGAAUUAGCGACGAUAUUUGCACAGUGUAAUACACUAAAAAGCAGUGGAAAACUGGGCAUGGUGGUGUAUACCUACAAUCCCUGAACUCGGUGGGAGGCAGGUGCUAUGAGUUCAUGGUUCUCUGCAGCCACAUAGUGAGUUUAAGGCCAGCCUGGGCUACAUGAGUCCCUGUUCCAAAAAACAACAAAAAACCCCAAGCCAACAAAGUAGCAAGGAGAAGAGUGUGGGGCUGGGGACGGGGCUCAGUUGGGAAAGGGCUUGUCUAGCAUGCAGGGGACCCUCGGUUCCUUCUCCAGACCAAAUCAAGCAAACAGAAGCUUAGAAAACACUGAAGGGCAUACUUUAUAGUGGGAUUUUUUUUUUUUUUUUGAGACAAGGUUUCUCUGUGUAGCCCUGGUUGUCCUGAAACUCACUCUGUAAACCAGGCUGGCCUCAAACUCAGAGAUCUUCAUGCCUCUGCCUCUGCCUCUGCCUUCUGAAUACUGGGACUAAUGAAUGAUGUGCACCACCACCACUGCCUAGCCCCAAAAUGGAAAAUUUUAUAAUAUGGGAAACCAGUUUCUUUCUCACACCCUUUCUCCUUUCUAUCUUUACUUUUGUUGCCACUGUUCGACUCCACGGUCUUGCGUGUAUUAUGUGUUAGACAAGUUCUGAUGUAGACCCAGCCUCAAUCUCAAAACUGUAAAGCAUUCAGGAGGCAGAGGCAGGCUGAACUCUGUGAGUUCCAGGUCAGCCUGGAUUACACAGUGAAAAGAUUUCUUAGAAAGAAAGAAAGAGGGGUUGGGGAUUUAGCUCAGUGGUAGAGCGCUUGCCUAGCAAGCACAAGGCCCUGGGUUCAGUCCCCAGCUCUGAAAAAAAGAAAAAAGAGAAAGAGAAAGAAAGAGAGGAAGGGAGGAAGAAAGGAAGGAAGGGAGAAAGAAAGGAAGGAAAAAAGAAAAGAAAAAAGAAAAGGGAAGAGAAGAAAAAAGCUAUAUCAAAUGUUAAGGGUAAAAUGUAGUUAUAAAAGUUCAGUUAAGGGGGUUGGGGAUUUAGCUCAGUGGUAGAGCGCUUGCCUAGCAAGCACAAGGCCCUGGGUUCGGUCCCCAGCUCCGAAAAAAAAAAUUAGAAAAAAAAAAGUUCAGUUAAAUCUUUCCAUUUUAUUGACUGUUAAGAACUUUAGGAUCAGCCAAUCUCAGAAAAGGAGAGACUUGUGAGCCCAGUGUAGGCAGGGGCAAGGAUGAGGGGAUGGGGGAAGGGAGCAGAGGGGACAGGGAAUCAAACACCGCUAUUGGUUUGGCAGAACACUUCAGGGGAACUGUGGAAGUUUGCAUUCCUCGGAUGAAAGGUUUCUCUUGGCCUCUGCUGCUGUGCAUUGACCACAUUCCUCCCUGCUGUGAGGGAUCACACUGGAAGCCGGUGAGACUGCUACAAAAGCCAGCAGGGUCCCUGGAUUUCAAGAGAAGCAGCAAGGCAGACAAAGUUUGGCCUUUGAUGCUCCCUUAGUGGCCUACCUGCUCCCCGGGGCGGAGACACCCCGGGAAGAGCCUGCACUGAGAAACAGGGAUUUGUACAAAGAUGAAAAUUUAUCAGAUCAGGGGAUUCAAACUGAGUUGCUAAGAGGUCUGAAGGUUUCAGACGCCUUUACAGUGGGGUUGUUGAGGAAGCUGUGGAAGGGAAAGUCCUGACCUCUUGAAGCUGCCGAUGGGGGUGGGAAGAAGAACAGCCACUGGGUAAACAGGGUGUCUGAGCCCCUGGAUCUAGAGCCCAGAGGUUAAAAUGUCCAGACGGCUUUGGGCUGACAAGUCACAGCAGUGUAGAACAUUCCUUCACUGAUAAAAGGAGAAAACACUUAGUUAGGGAGGUCCAGAGGGUUGCUGUCCAGGGUGGGGAAUUCACGUGGACUGGAUUGAACAAAUCCAAACCCCAAACGUAAAUACCUAAAAAUCAGGACUUCGUGCAUUUGACCUUCAGACGGGUGAGUGUAGGCCCCACCACUCUGACCGGCAUGCUUAUAGAAAGAGGACUCCAAGACACUGGAUUAUUUUUCAAAUCUACAACUUGGAUCAGUCACUCGGGAUUCGACAGUCUGGGUAGUGGAUAUUGGAUCACACCAGACCUCUCAGGUCUCCCUCCUCAAAACAGGGAUCAGGACAAAGAGAUGGGAAGACAAAGGAGCGGCAAAUCUCUGUUGGCAUGCGGAUCCCAGGCAAGAAUGGUCACUGAGGAUCCUGUCUCCAGGAUGACAAGGAUAACUGGCAGGACGAAGUGCACGGGAUCGCCAUGAGGAGCAGCCAUGAGGCCAGAGCUGUGAGGUGCAGCAUGAUUGGCUGGCACUGGUGAAGCUGCCCGGUGUGCAGAGGGUCAGUGCUUGGUCUGGAGGCCUGGGCUGGCUGAAAACACAUUCAGCAUCGUCUGGUAUCUGCUUUGAAAUUCCAGUUUCAUUACCGUAAAUAGUCUCACAUCAUUCAGGUGGGCCUUGAACUGUGUGCUCGAAGAGGACCUUGGACGUCUGAUCUGUCUGCCUUCCACUUCCCGAGUGCAGGGAUUACCGGAGUGUGCCAUCAUACUCAGCCUAAACUCAGUUUGAACUAGCACCGAAGCCGGGCCUUCUCAAACUGCUACCCAGAACCCAAAUGCUGUAAGCUGGGCUUGGAAGAUGCCCAAAAGCUCUAAAGCUCCCUCGCUCCUCUCUCCCCCUCCCCUCCCCCUACCUCUCCCCUUCCUCCCAUCCCCUCCCCCAGCCCUCCCUCUCUUUCCUUCUGGGCGAGCCCUGCUGCCUCGUUCUUAUUUAUUCCCCAAGGCCGGAUGGCAGUUUCCUCCAUUUCCCUGGCUCGCUGUCCUGCCCAAUGUCUGUCCCAUUGCCUCUGCCUUUUGCAUUUCCUUGGCCAGCCCUGUGCCAUUUGUGUCCAAGCCCAGACUCUUUCCUUUAAUCCACUCAUGACAGAUCGGUUCAAGCUGCCCAGGCCCGCUCAGGUUACCUACGGCUCCCAUGCAGGGCAGGUUCAGAAUGUUGCCUGAGCUCCCUUAGCCCCUUCACAUGGCAUCCCAUAGCCUUAUCUUAUCUAAUACCCCCACAUAAUCCCUUUGCUCCGGUCAUCCUGGGCCCGUGCCAGCUUCCAAAUGUGGUCCACAUGUUCCUGUCCCUCUGUGCACGGUCUCGUUCCUUGGGUUGAAAAUGCCUUCGCCCAGUCUCCAGAGAAUGAAAUCCUACCCAUUCCAGCUACAAAUUCUCCAUGAAGCUGGCUCUGCUCUUGCCAACAACCAAUCAUUUCCCGGAUCUCUGGCCCUCCCUUCCCCCCUUCCCCCAACCCAACUUACUUCUCUGGGCUCACUUUGUUUGCCUAGUGACUUGGGCUCAGCUAACCUGUAGGAUCCUUCAGUCCAAGGGUAGCUUUGUGAUUGGUCCAGCUUGAGUCAAUGGCUUCAUUGCCAUCUAGAACACAUGGACUGAGAUUAUAAGAGCAGAGACCCCCUAAAAAGAUGCUGGGUGGAUGCUGGGUGCAAACAGAACCAGGUCUAGUAAGGGGAAUGGGAGGCUCUUUUUCCAUAAAUAAAAACAUUGGGUUUUUUUGCUAA